UGGUGAUGAUGAUGAUGAUGAUGAUCAUGAUGAUUUAGAGGUGACCCGACGGAAGGCGGCCACCCUGUAAAAUCCCCGAGCGGCUCCUCGCGCUGCUCUCAAAGUUCGGCGGCAGCUUGCGCACCGGCGGAAGACGCUCCGCGCGCCGGCCGGGCGUUACACUGUGGCUGUGAGGGGAAGGUGGGGAGGGGGGGGGCGAGACCCCGGAGUUGCCUUCACCUCCCGCCCCUCCGCAGCCGGACUCAGACAGACUGUCACUGACUGUGCCGCGGGAAUCCCGGGCGCCGCCGGACGCGUGGAUUUAACGCGGCGCCUUGAACGUGUCGGAUGAACAUCGUCGGGGCUCCUCACCUUCUGGCCGGACCACGCAGAUGCGCCCCACCAUGUCUUGGUUCUGGUGUCUGUGGAUUAGCGCCAGCGCCGUUCUGCUCUGCCAAGCCUCUCUGUACGACACCAUCCAGCAGCACCACCUGGCCAGCCCUGGCCGCAGCUCCAUCCAGAUCCUCGAGGGCGGGACGUGCGAGGUCAUCGCCGCGCACAGGUGCUGCAACAAGAACCGAAUUGAGGAGCGCUCUCAGACGGUGAAGUGCUCCUGUCUACCAGGGAAGGUGGCCGGGACGACGAGAAACAAGCCGUCCUGCGUGGACGCCUCUAUUGUUGUCGGGAAGUGGUGGUGCGAGAUGGAGCCCUGCCUGGAGGGUGAAGAAUGCAAGACGUUACCGGACAACUCGGGUUGGAUGUGCUCCUCCGGAAACAAGAUCAAGACCACGAGGAACACCCAGCCAUACUCAUCUUUUUAGUUCUGGGAGCAGAAUGCAGGAGACGCUGCAAAAUAGAGGCAGAGGAGCAUUCCUGCUUCCAAAAAAGAUUCAUCCAAGGACCUAACAAAGGGCACCCCGAUAGGCAAGAAAUGGAUUCAUCCAGAAAAAAAAUGGGCAAAACCAUUCCGAGGAGGAACGGCUGACUGGAUUACUUCGAGCUGCGUAGGCUUUACCGAAAAGGAUAUCGCUAGUGAUGGAAGCGCGGCACUGGUUGUGGUGCUCGGGAUGUGAAAACCAGACUAAUCCUUUUUCCGACAGACAAGUCAAAAAAAGGUGACUUUAUUCCACAGGUGUUGUAUUGCAAAUCCUUACAUGUGCUUUUCUUCCUUUAAGAAUAUUUAAAAACCAAAACGCGGCUUACCAGAACUAACAGAGGAUGUAGAAAAGUACAGAAAGGACAGCAUCGCGCAUGUAAAGGACACGAUUGGGACUGCGUUGCUCGGCCCCCGGCGGGGAGCCCCAAAGGACCGGUGGGACACUGGGAGAAAGUGAAAGGCCAUCGCGAACAUACAGUGUUUCUGGUCCUCCACCAUUCCAUUGCCUAACCCUCCAACAUCAGCAUGCUGGCCUUCCUUGAACUCCGAGAGCCGUGACGUGCCGUCACCUCUCUGACCACGUGACCUGACAGCAGGAGCGCGAUCAAACCGAAAUCAGACCCUCGGAAAGGCGGAGGCGUCACAAAGUCCCUCAGCAUCCACCGUGGAGGCAUCUGUAAAUUUACCAUUAUUUGUUGGCAUGCUCAACCUGUUUUACCUGAGCUCUCUUUGUAUUAAAAAUGUAUAUAAAUGUUUCACAUGCUCAUAUGGUAAAAUAUCGACAAGAAGGAGGGAUCCAGCGGGGUCUCUCGGCAACACUGUAACCUGAAUUUUUCGCUCGUUCCCGACUCCAACGUGUGUGGACCCCACUUAAAGUUUGGGUGGAGCACCUUUUCAUUUGCGCAGGAUCCGAUCGCUUGCGUCCGGGAGACUAUGAAGCGGCCAGCGGCCUGCGGGUACAUGUUGCUUGGGUUUCAGUCGAAUGCUGUGUUUGGAGAUCGGGGCCCCGUAGUAUAUAUGGUGAGAAAAACAAAGCCAACACUGUACAGAUCAGUCUCACAAAGCAACGAAUACUAUCGUGACUAUGGUUAGUCUUCCCAUCCUUGUGAACAAGACCCUAUAGCAACUCGGCCCCACCUUAGUGAUUAAAAUGCACUUCUGUUUCCACCCUGUUCUUUUUUUUUUAACGUAUGACAUUGACGACAUUUGUUGACUCAGCCAUGCUUGUUCGUUUGUAGUUUGUACUGAAUUUUUGGGAAGAAAAACUGACAUAGAAGAAAAAAAGUGUCAAGAAAACCAUAGCUGGCAUCAGAGUAAAUCAGAGUAAACCCCCAGUAGAUAUAACU